UGACUUUGAAACUUAUCUUAGUUUACAUGUAUUAGUUUGUGAUUAGAUCAGUUUAAGAUGAACUGCUAAUGUUAAGUCAAUGAUAUUUGGUAUGCAAAUUUAUUGGCAUUUGCAAGUAUAAUGUUUCCAUGGAGAUUAUAUAGCCCCAACCCCUCUUCAUGGUUCAUUGACUUUGAAACUUUUACAUAGUUUACAAGUUAAUUUGUAUUUAGGUUUGGGAACGACUUAUAAUAAGUCAAUGGUAUUUGGUAUGCAGUUGUAUUAGCAUUGGCACAUCUCAUUUACAUGGAGAUUGUUUAGCCAUGUAACUCAGUCAUGGUUCAUUGACUUUGAAUAUUUGCAUAACUUGUGUAAGAUGUUAAAGUAUUGCUAUUUUGAUUUCAACAUUUGCAUAAUCAAAAUUACAAAAAGGCGAGACAUAUCUCUGUGAUAACAGUUUAUGAUAUUUUGAUAUUUCCUGAUAAGGCUAAUGCAAAUAGAAGAUUUAACUUGUUUUUAAAUUUAACAAACUGAGCAUAAGUUGUGAGGAAUGAAAACUAGCAGGCUGAGUUUUAGGGUUAAGGGGAGGAAAUACACUUGUUUAUCUCUUCAUAUGAGCUAGUUUUGUUCACUGCAUGGAAGGCCUGCAAUAAAUUAGAAUGUAUUAGUUUUAUAUAUAAUUGUUAUAUAUUUUUUGUUAGAUAUGCUAUAUAAGAUGUAAAUAAAGUAAGAUGACAGUAUUAUUUAGAGCUCUGUAAAUAAAAUCGGCUUGUAAACAGGUCUAGAUAAUGCAUUAAGUGGAUUGGUCUGACAUUGGGAUUUCAAAUUAUAUUUACGUCGUCAUCAUCUACAAAAGUGCUUCCAUUCUCAAUAUUAUCUGAUAUUAAACGCCCCUUCCUCCCAAUUAUGACUUCAUUUUAAGUUUAAUGAGUUAUCUCCCAUAUUUGUAGGUACUUUUGGUAACAGUAUAUCAUGAUAAGGCUAAUGCAAAUAGGAGACAACUCUUGUUUUUUGUAGAAAAGAAGAUUUAACUUGUUUUUAAAUUUAAUGGUAAAUCCUGUGACUUCGUAAAUUUUUUCUUAGCUUUAAAAUAAUAUUUAAAACCCUGUCCAUGAAAUUGAACAUUGCUCCUCUUGAUUUAAGUAAGUGAAUUCUUUUGCAAUAGUUUAAAUGAAAUGUCAAAUAGUAUUUCAUAAUGCAUUAGAAGGAAUGGUAUAUUUUAUAGAAUGCUAGUAUUGUUUUACUUGUAUGUUUAGUGGUCACUAAAAAUGUAAUAUAUUAUUAUUUGUUUUCCUAUUUACUAUUAUCAAGUGGAUUAACAUCACCUAAUUUCCCUGUUUGCUAGUUCAUAACGAUUGUAAGGUUGAAAUUUCUGUAACAAUUAAACACCUAUGAUUCUUCCCUACAAUGUAUGAGUUUUUUUAAAGCAGGGUGUAUUUUUUUUCAAUAUUGCCAUAUUCUUAUGUCUUAAGUAGCAGUAUUAUAUAAGGUGAUUGCUACAUAAAUCAUUUCUCAUUUUAAUAAAUAACAUUUAUUUGAA